AACGCACAUUGCGCCCCCUGGUAUUCCGGGGGGCAUGCCUGUCCGAGCGUCAUUGCAACCUUCAAGCGCGGCUUGUGUAUUGGGCCUCGUCCCCCGUGGACGGGCCUGAAAGGCAGUGGCGGUGCCGAUUUUCGGUGCCUGAGCGUAUGGGGAUCAUCUCCGCUCUUUAGGCCCGGUCGGCGCCCGUCGUCACCAAAUUUUUUACCGGUUGACCUCGGAUCAGGUAGGGAUACCCGCUGAACUUAA
rnacentral:misc_RNA from 1 species